rnacentral:rRNA from 1 species
UACGUAGGGGGCAAGCGUUGUCCGGAAUCAUUGGGCGUAAAGCGCGUGUAGGCGGCUCGAUAAGUCUGCUGUGAAAGUCCAGGGCUCAACCGAGGAAUUGCCUUGGAUACUGCGGGGCUCGAGGCUGGAAGAGGGCAGUGGAAUUCCCGGUGUAGCGGUGAAAUGCGCAGAUAUCAGGAGGAACACCAAUGGCGAAGGCAGCUCGCUGGAACGGUACUGACGCUGAGGCGCGAAAGCGUGGGGAGCGAACAGG